GACGAACGCUGGCGGCGUGCCUAAUACAUGCAAGUUGAGCGCUGAAGGUUGGUACUUGUACCAACUGGAUGAGCAGCGAACGGGUGAGUAACGCGUGGGGAAUCUGCCUUUGAGCGGGGGACAACAUUUGGAAACGAAUGCUAAUACCGCAUAAAAACUUUAAACACAAGUUUUAAGUUUGAAAGAUGCAAUUGCAUCACUCAAAGAUGAUCCCGCGUUGUAUUAGCUAGUUGGUGAGGUAAAGGCUCACCAAGGCGAUGAUACAUAGCCGACCUGAGAGGGGGAGCGGCCACACUGGGACUGAGACACGGCCCAAACCACUACGGGAGGCAGCAGGAGGGAAUCUUCGGCGAAGGACGAAAGUCUGACCGAGCAACGCCGGGUGAGUGCAGAAGGUUGUCGGAUCGUAAAACUCUGUUGGUAGAGAAGAACGUUGGUGAGAGUGGAAAGCGCAUCAAGUGACGGUAACUACACAGAAAGGGACGGCUAACUACGUG
rnacentral:rRNA from 1 species